AAGUCGUAACAAGGUUUCCGUAGGUGAACCUGCGGAAGGAUCAUUAGUGAAUAACCGCUUAUGUCUUCGCUUUGGCAAGGCAUUUGCAACCAAACACAUCCAUAACACCUGCGAAUUGUAAGGAAGUAGCUUGAAAGAGUCUUCCUGCCCUUUAUAAACAAUCAGUAGUACCAAAAGUAGUGUCAUUAUAAUCUAACAAAACUUUCAACAACGGAUCUCUUGGCUCUCGCAUCGAUGAAGAACGCAGCGAAAUGCGAUAAGUAAUGUGAAUUGCAGAAUUCAGUGAAUCAUCGAAUCUUUGAACGCACCUUGCGCUCUAUGGUAUUCCGUAGAGCAUGCCUGUUUGAGUGUCAUGAAAACAAUCAACCUUGACUUUGGNUUCAUUACCCAUGGACUUGGAUUGGAUUUUGGGUGUUUGUCGAUCUCAUGAUCGGCUCACCUUAAAUGAAUUAGCUGGACUUGUUUGUGAGGACUGGNUGGACUUGGCGUAAUAAGUANUUCGUCAAGNACAUUGCUUUAGUAAUGGNCAAACCUCUCAACGACUGUCUGNCUUCUAACUUUUGUGUUCAGUCUCACGACGUCGACACCUUUUUUAUGAUCUGGCCUCAAAUCAGGUAGGACUACCCGCUGAACUUAAGCAUAUCAAUAAGCGGAGGAAANGAAACUAACAAGGAUUCCCCUAGUAACGGCGAGUGAAGCGGNAAAAGCUCAAAUUUGAAAUCUGGUGNCCUCAGGUCAUCCGAGUUGUAAUCUAUAGAAACGUCUUCCGCAUCGGCUCAUGUACAANUCCCUUGGAACAGGGCGUCAUGGAGGGUGAGANUCCCGUUCUUGACAUGAACUACCAAUGCUAUGUGAUGCGUUUUCGACGAGUCGAGUUGUUUGGGAAUGCAGCUCAAAACGGGUGGUAAAUUCCAUCUAAAGCUAAAUAUUGGCGAGAGACCGAUAGCGAACAAGUACCGUGAGGGAAAGAUGAAAAGCACUUUGGAAAGAGAGUUAAACAGUAUGUGAAAUUGUUGAAAGGGAAACGAUUGAAGUCAGUCGUGUCUUUGGGAUUCAGCCUGUUCUGCAGGUGUACUUCCCAUUGACAGGGUCAACAUCAGUUUUGAUCGCUGGAUAAAGGUUAGAGGAAUGUAGCACUCUUGGGUGAACUUAUAGCCUCUGAUUGCAUACAGUGGUUGGGACUGAGGAACGCAGCUUGCCUUUAUGGCUAUGAGCUUAGGAUGUUGACAUAAUGGCUUUAAACGACC
rnacentral:rRNA from 1 species